CCAGCCACCUUGGCUCCUAAAGGCCAGAUUUAGAGGAAGAGGGGGGCAAGCUUUGCGUACCUCAUUCACAACACAGCUGGGAGGAAACCAAACUGCCUGAGAUGGUACAAUAAAAAUCAGCCUAAGAAUUCGGUGAAGAAGGGAGCGCAGCAGACAAACAGGCCAGGUGCCGGCGAUGCAAAUGAAAUGGAUGACAGAUGGCGAGUAGCACGCUCACUCACUGCGCGUGUAUAAUGGAUAGAGGAACAUACUUUAAAAUCUUGAGUCUUGGGCAUCCUCUUAAAUUUUGCAUUCAGUGUCUCUUAGUCACCUCACUGUGGCCCCAGCCAGGCAUCAAAACUACUUGGAGAAAUAAAUGAAACAGAGAAAAGUGGUCAGUCCUUUAAAACUACAGAAGAAAAAAGGGAAAUAACAAUACAUGCACAUAUACCUUGGGGAAAAAUGGGUGUUUAAGCCUUUCAAAAGAAGACCUGAUGGGAUGGGUUUGCAUUAUCCAAUACCUAGCAGAGUUUGAAUGCAAGCCAAUUCAAAGUUGAUCAACCUUUAAUUUUUCAUCUAAAGUUAUAUGCUUUUAUACAUUUCCUUGUGGCUAACACACUAAUCACCAGUCUAAUCAGUUUCAGAAGGAGCACAGUACACUCCUGUAUCCUUUCCACAUCUUCUAGGAUCAGUACCCUGAUUUUUCUUUGGAGAGCUGCCUUUCCCAGUCUUGAUCCCGGUGGCUUGAUUGGACACAUCCCACUCCAGACUCCAAGAGGAAACAAGUGACCAAGACCUGGACAAUUACCAUGUUUUGACAACUUGGUCAGAGUAUUUGGUUCAGGGGUAUUGCUCAGGAGAGCCCUAGAGCCCUGAAAUCCUGCCUGUGCUACUGGGGGCUUGGCAUGUCCUUCUCCCUGAAUUUUGUAACUUUGCACGAUAUAACCAUAGGGUGCUGGGGCCACCAGAAGGGAAGAGUCUGCCAGAGUAGAACCAGCAGAGAGGUGGGCAGAGCUGAUGGGCAGAGAGAGUCCUGAUGAUACCAUAUGAGGGCAGGAUCUACCUAUAUGUGGACAAGACUUCAUUUCACAGAGCAAAUACAUUCUCUUUAUUUCUUAAAUGACUUUCCCUUUAGUUUAUUUAUUAGCUUGUUUAUUCAGAAAAUAUUUUCUACGUAUUUAACCUAUGUGCAAGGCAUCAUUUUAAAUGUUGGUGACACAGCAGUGGGCAAGACAAAGUCUUGCUCUCAUGAAACGGAUAAUAGUCAACAGAUAACACACAAACAUAUAAUAAACAUUUAACAGAGUGCCAAAAAUCAAGACCCAGAAAGAAAAACCAGGCAGGGUAAUGAGAUAGAAAGUAUUUGGGGAUAGUUUAGAAAGGAGCACUAGGGAAGGCCUAUGUGAGUAGAGACCUAAGUCAAUGAGGGGGAAAAAAACAAAACAAAACAAAAAACAAAAAAAAAUCUCUCUGCAUGUUUGAGGAAGAUCAUUUUAGGAGAGAGAAAAUCCAAACUAAGGAGAAGGACUCUGUGUAUCUGAGGAGGAACAAGAAGACUGCUGUGGAGUGCUUGACAUAAGGGAUGAUAAUCUUUCAGUGACUGUCUAACCACCAUUUUAUUCUACAUUCACUAUAUGUAAAACCAGGUAGUACUAUUAAAAGUAUAGAUAGAACUUUGCAGAGACAUGAGAAAACUGAGACAUUCGUGAAAUGGAGGAGACUUUCUGUGACUUUGGUUUUAUGACUCAGUCCUGCAAAACGUGCCCUUCAUCUGGUUUUGCCCGCAAGACUGGGAAGUUCUGAUGAGACCAGCUUGAGCCUAGCCAUUUUGACACUACUGUUUGAUGAUCUAACCACUGCCAGUUUCUGCUGCUUGCUUAUCUUACUGCUGCCAAUUUUACAACAACUCUGAUUUUUCAGCCAAUUUGUUUAUUCAGCAUUUCAUUUCCUGGCCUUUGUCAGAGGUACCUGUAAUGUGUAAAGGGAGGUAAUGUGUUCAGAUGGGGAAUAGAGUCUUGGCAGAGUCUCACUUGGGAUUUUUUGAGAGAAAGCAUGCAUGUGGAGAUGGGGUGCUUGGUGAAAAUUAAUGAGUAGUGAGUGAUUGGAAUGAAGAAGAUAAAAUCAAGAUUUUUUUGGCAAGAGGAGAAAACACCCAAUGUUUUCAUAUCAACCUCACACCUUUUUCCCUAAAAGGCAAAUUAUAAAACUUUCAGCUGUUAAGUGUUCCUGCUGAGUUCCUACAACCACCAACAAUACAACACCACAGAGCACCAAGUCAUGUGUGUGACGG